UCGUCCACCUGCUGGGGGCAGAUGAAAUGGAUAUGGGCGUCGAUCCCGCCCGCGGUCAGGAUGCGGCCUUCGCCCGCGAUGAUCUCCGUACCCGGCCCGAUGGGAAUGGUGACGCCGGGCUGGACGUCCGGGUUGCCCGCCUUGCCGAUCGCAGCGAUCAGGCCGUCGCGGAUCGCCACGUCGCCCUUCACGAUACCCCAAUGAUCCAGGAUCAGCGCAUUGGUGAUGACGGUGUCGGGCGCGCCGUCCGCCCGGCUCAUCUGGCUUUGCCCCAUGCCGUCGCGG
rnacentral:sRNA from 1 species